rnacentral:rRNA from 1 species
AGUGAACGCUGGCGGUAGGCCUAACACAUGCAAGUCGAACGGCAGCACAGUAAGAGCUUGCUCUUACGGGUGGCGAGUGGCGGACGGGUGAGGAAUACAUCGGAAUCUACUUUUUCGUGGGGGAUAACGUAGGGAAACUUACGCUAAUACCGCAUACGACCUACGGGUGAAAGCAUGGGAUCUUCGGACCUUGCGCGAUUGAAUGAGCCGAUGUCGGAUUAGCUAGUGGGCGGGGUAAAGGCCCACCAAGGCGACGAUCCGUAGCUGGUCUGAGAGGAUGAUCAGCCACACUGGAACUGAGACACGGUCCAGACUCCUACGGGAGGCAGCAGUGGGGAAUAUUGGACAAUGGGCGCAAGCCUGAUCCAGCCAGACCGCGUGGGUGAAGAAGGCCUUCGGGUUGUAAAGCCCUUUUGUUGGGAAAGAAAAGCAGCAGGUUAAUACCCCGCUGUUCUGACGGUACCCAAAGAAUAAGCACCGGCUAACUUCGUG